GACGAACGCUGGCGGCGUGCUUAACACAUGCAAGUCGAACGGAAAGGCCCUGCUUUUGUGGGGUGCUCGAGUGGCGAACGGGUGAGUAACACGUGAGUAACCUGCCCUUGACUUUGGGAUAACUUCAGGAAACUGGGGCUAAUACCGGAUAGGAGCUCCUGCUGCAUGGUGGGGGUUGGAAAGUCUCGGCGGUUGGGGAUGGACUCGCGGCUUAUCAGCUUGUUGGUGGGUAGUGGCUUACCAAGGCUUUGACGGGUAGCCGGCCUGAGAGGGUGACCGGCCACAUUGGGACUGAGAUACGGCCCAGACUCCUACGGGAGGCAGCAGUGGGGAAUAUUGCACAAUGGGCGGAAGCCUGAUGCAGCAACGCCGCGUGCGGGAUGACGGCCUUCGGGUUGUAAACCGCUUUCGCCUGUGACGAAGCGUGAGUGACGGUAAUGGGUAAAGAAGCACCGGCUAACUACGUG
rnacentral:rRNA from 1 species